rfam:Ictidomys tridecemlineatus contig023930, whole genome shotgun sequence.
GGGGAUAUAGCUCAGUUGGUAGAGUGCUUGCCUCGAGUGCACAAAGCCCUGGGUUCAAUCCUCAGCAUCACAA